UGGGGAAUUUUGGACAAUGGGCGAAAGCCUGAUCCAGCAAUGCCGCGUGUGUGAAGAAGGCCUUCGGGUUGUAAAGCACUUUUGUCCGGAAAGAAAUCCUUGGCUCUAAUACAGUCGGGGGAUGACGGUACCGGAAGAAUAAGCACCGGCUAACUACGUGCCAGCAGCCGCGGUAAUACGUAGGGUGCAAGCGUUAAUCGGAAUUACUGGGCGUAAAGCGUGCGCAGGCGGUUUGCUAAGACCGAUGUGAAAUCCCCGGGCUCAACCUGGGAACUGCAUUGGUGACUGGCAGGCUAGAGUAUGGCAGAGGGGGGUAGAAUUCCACGUGUAGCAGUGAAAUGCGUAGAGAUGUGGAGGAAUACCGAUGGCGAAGGCAGCCCCCUGGGCCAAUACUGACGCUCAUGCACGAAAGCGUGGGGGAGCAAAACAGGAUUAGAUACCCUGGUAGUCCACGCCCUAAAACGAUGUCAACUAGUUGUUGGGGAUUCAUUUCCUUAGUAACGUAGCUAACGCGUGAAGUUGACCGCCUGGGGAGUACGGUCGAAGAUUAAAACUCAAAUGAAUUGACGGGGUCAUAGCUGUUUCCU
rnacentral:rRNA from 1 species